CGAGCGCAUCCUUCGGGAUGAGCGGCGGACGGGUUAGUAACGCGUGGGAACGUACCCAGAUCUAAGGAAUAGCCACUGGAAACGGUGAGUAAUACCUUAUACGCCCUUCGGGGGAAAGAUUUAUCGGAUUUGGAUCGGCCCGCGUUAGAUUAGGUAGUUGGUGGGGUAACGGCCUACCAAGCCUACGAUCUAUAGCUGGUUUUAGAGGAUGAUCAGCAACACUGGGACUGAGACACGGCCCAGACUCCUACGGGAGGCAGCAGUGGGGAAUCUUGGACAAUGGGCGCAAGCCUGAUCCAGCCAUGCCGCGUGAGUGAUGAAGGCCUUAGGGUCGUAAAGCUCUUUCGCCAGGGAUGAUAAUGACAGUACCUGGUAAAGAAACCCCGGCUAACUCCGUGCCAGCAGCCGCGGUAAUACGGAGGGGGUUAGCGUUGUUCGGAAUUACUGGGCGUAAAGCGCGCGUAGGCGGAUUGGAAAGUUGGGGGUGAAAUCCCGGGGCUCAACCCCGGAACUGCCCCCAAAACUAUCAAUCUAGAGUUCGAGAGAGGUGAGUGGAAUUCCGAGUGUAGAGGUGAAAUUCGUAGAUAUUCGGAGGAACACCAGUGGCGAAGGCGGCUCACUGGCUC
rnacentral:rRNA from 1 species